rnacentral:rRNA from 1 species
AGCGAACGCUGGCGGCAGGCUUAACACAUGCAAGUCGAGCGGGGUGAUGGUGCUUGCACUAUCACUUAGCGGCGGACGGGUGAGUAAUGCUUAGGAAUCUGCCUAUUAGUGGGGGACAACAUCUCGAAAGGGAUGCUAAUACCGCAUACGUCCUACGGGAGAAAGCAGGGGAUCACUUGUGACCUUGCGCUAAUAGAUGAGCCUAGGUCGGAUUAGCUAGUUGGUGGGGUAAAGGCCUACCAAGGCGACGAUCUGUAGCGGGUCUGAGAGGAUGAUCCGCCACACUGGGACUGCGACACGGCCCAGACUCCUACGGGAGGCAGCAGUGGGGAAUAUUGGACAAUGGGGGGAACCCUGAUCCAGCCAUGCCGCGUGUGUGAAGAAGGCCUUAUGGUUGUAAAGCACUUUAAGCGAGGAGGAGGCUCUUUUGGUUAAUACCCAAGAUGAGUGGACGUUACUCGCAGAAUAAGCACCGGCUAACUCUGUGCCAGCAGCCGCCGUAA